UGGGCUGUCGCCAAGUGGUAAGGCAACAGGCUCUGACCCUGUUAUUCGAUGGUCCGAAUCCAUCCAGCCCAGCCA
rnacentral:tRNA from 1 species